GUCCUGAUCCUGGCCACAGCCAGAUGAUUUUUGGAAUAACCCGGCUUCAACUUGUUCAUCACAGUUUAUUCCCAGUACUGGACUCUAGCAUCUUUCCUCUUGGUGAUCCGUAAAGGGCCCGCCUUGCAGACACAAGGGAUAAAGGAGAUGGAAAAGUGGCAUCCGGAAAUAUCCUGAGCACCCACACUGCCACCUGCAGUAGGAUCAUCCCUGUCACACAUGUGACUUCACCCACGCGGCCACCCACAAGGAGAGUUCUUAACUUCACCAUUUUUUUAAAUGAUAAACAUUAGAUUUUGGGUGUACUGGACAGUAGAAAACAAAAAUGUAUAUAACAGC
rnacentral:lncRNA from 1 species